UACGUAGGGGGCAAGCGUUGUCCGGAUUUAUUGGGCGUAAAGAGCGUGUAGGCGGCCAGACAGGUCCGUUGUGAAAACUGGAGGCUUAACCUUCAGACGUCGAUGGAAACCGUCUGGCUAGAGUCCGGAAGAGGAGAGUGGAAUUCCGUGGUGUAGCGGUGAAAUGCGCAGAUAUCAGGAAGAACACCCGUGGCUAAGGCGGAUCUCUGGGCCGAUACUGACGCUGAGGAGCGAAAGCGUGGGGAGCGAACAGG
rnacentral:rRNA from 1 species